rnacentral:rRNA from 1 species
UGGGGAAUUUUGGACAAUGGGCGCAAGCCUGAUCCAGCAAUGCCGCGUGCAGGAUGAAGGCCUUCGGGUUGUAAACUGCUUUUGUACGGAACGAAACGGCUCUGGUUAAUACCUGGGGCUAAUGACGGUACCGUAAGAAUAAGCACCGGCUAACUACGUGCCAGCAGCCGCGGUAAUACGUAGGGUGCGAGCGUUAAUCGGAAUUACUGGGCGUAAAGCGUGCGCAGGCGGUGAUGUAAGACAGAUGUGAAAUCCCCGGGCUCAACCUGGGAACUGCCUUUGUGACUGCAAGGCUGGAGUGCGGCAGAGGGGGAUGGAAUUCCGCGUGUAGCAGUGAAAUGCGUAGAUAUGCGGAGGAACACCGAUGGCGAAGGCGGCUUUCUGGAUCAUAUCUGACGCUGAGGCGCGAAAGCGUGGGGAGCAAACA